UAUCUAUAUUUAUCUUUAACAAUUUUUAGUUAAAGUUGCAAAAUUUAGUCUUGACAAAAAAAGAGAGUUCCAAACAAAAAAAACAAUUGAAACCCUAUCGACUCUCUCUUCUUCUCCCACUCGCCGUCUUCUCCGAAUCACCACCACGGCCAUCACCACCGGUCCUAUCCCAUCUGUCAGCAAGUCCAGCACGUCUCCGUCCAACUCUUCACCCCCGUUCCUAUUUUCCUCGUCUCCUCCUGUCGUAAUCUCUCUCAUUCUAUUUGCUUCUACUCUAUCAACCUCAGGUUUUUCCUUACAAUCCAAUGUAAGCAACUCUUGUUCGAUUACUUUGCAGCAGGAUUCUCGGGAGUGAGGAAAGUUGUGAGUCGGAGACGAACAGCGGCGGCGAGGAGACAUAGCUUAACUUCGACUUCCAUGGAGUUUGGCGUGUGUUCAAGCUCGAGGGAUGAGGAGAUGGAUUCAAGGGAGGAGAUGGAGUUGGAUUCAAAGAAUAAGUCUUUUACCCUCUUUCUCAGAUUCAAUUUCAUUUCUAAUUUAAUGUAUUGAUUAUGGAGGAAAUAACCAUAUGACAGGAAUUCAAUUGAGACAGAGACGAGCGAAGAGACGACCUGCCUCUCGAUCUGCCAAUCUAAGUGAGCAAGCUCGUUCGUAUGUUGAAGGUUGGAGGUGAAGCAGUGGAGAAAUUCUUGGUUCCAGGAGAGCCCUCGCUAUGAUGGAGCUAAUUUACCUCAUUCUUCGAUUCCCCUUCUCAAUCUCACGGGCUUCUUCUCUCUCUCUCUCUUUUGUUAUUGCAGUGUUCUUGUUCAAUGUUGCAGGGCUCAAGAUGGUCGUUUGUGAAUCUACUCCCCUUGUCAAAUAAGGUCAGGUGAGCAAGCGUUGUUAUGUGAUGUUCAAGGGUGUAGGAAACUGAUGUUCUCGAUUAACUUCAGCGCUGCUAGGAUUUUGAAGUAGGGCAUUUGCAUAACUCAUAGGAGCCAACAUCACGAGUAGUAUGACUUCUGUAAUGGGACUCCAUGAAUUUGGUUGAGAUCCUUAAACUAAGAAGAAGAAGAUCCUUAAAGAGAUCUAUUGAGGGACACACGAAUAGCACACAAAGUUGAUGGAAGAGUAUGAAGACUAAGAACAUGAGCGUGGACACACUUGUGGAUUAGUUUUAGGUUUAGUUUAGGGUUAUCUGGUUUGAUUUUGGUUUAGUUUUUUAUUUAUAAACCAUAAUAUUUUUGUAAAUCAAAAUUUCUUUUCUAAUAAAUUGUAUUAUUUUUUUAAAAGCAAUAUAAACCAAUUAUAACUAUUUAGA